ensembl:lncRNA novel transcript
UGCGUCUGGAGCUUCACAUUCUCUGCCCCCCACCCACCGCGCCGGCGCUCCCUUGUCACGCCUCGGGAAGCGCGCACCUGCCAAGCAGGAUGAAUAAUCUGAUAUCAUGUGAAAUGAGGAAAUAAGAAGCUUUCUGCUGACUUCAUUUUGACCCAGGGUCCAAAAGGUGAUGUAAUCCUGUGGCAAGAAGAUUCAAAACUGUGGACUAUCUUGCAAAAAAUACAAGAAGAUAUUGAAAGUUUUCAUGAGUGCCUACCACCUAAUCUCAAACACUAUCAUUCAUAUGUGCCUCAUUGAGCAAAUCUUUAAUGAGGAUCUAUAUGCCAGCAAUAUCUUUUGCUUGGGAGCAGAAACAGAAAGUACAUGAUGGACUUCAUUGAAGGAUGGAGAUUUGGAAGACAUGAAUGGAUGAAGAACCAAGUGCGUGAGGGCACCUAUCAGGAUUAUUGCUGAAAUCCUUAUGGAGUUAACUGGCUGAGAGGAAGGCAAGCAAGCGAGGACUGAUGGGCCCUUGGCACUGUGAGAACAGUGGAGGAGGAGGGAGCAGGGUUCAUAAGGAGGAGCACAAACAGAAAGUUCAGUGGCCCCAAUAAAAAUAACACCAGAAUCUUCCAGAUACUUUCUCCAUAAGGCGAAAAGACGGAGUCUCGCUCUGUUGCCCAGGCUGUAGUUCAGUGGUGCAAUCUCAGCUCACUGCAAGCUCUGCCUCCCGGGUUCAUGCCAUUCUUCUGCCUCAGCCUCCCGAGUAGCUGGGACUACAAGCGCCUGCUACCACGCCUGGCUAAUUUUUUGUAUUUUUUAGUAGAGACGGAGUUUCACCAUGUUAGCCAGGAUGGUCUCGAUCUCCUGACCUUGUGAUCCACCCAUCUCGGCCUCCCAAAGUGCUAGGAUUACAGGCAUGAGCCACCACGCCCAGCCAACUUAUAACUUUUAUAUCAUUAGACACAUGGAAUAUGGGCCUCCGUUUGUACUCUUGCCCUUGGCCCCACAAACGUUAGGGAGAGGCCUGGCUCCUGCAAUGUACUAUUUACCUGUUGUAAAGAAUAGCCCUUCAAAAGUAUUAUUCUAAGUCUGUUUGACAUAAUAGGUCCAAAUUGUAUUACAACAUGGUAAAAAAACAACAAUCCAUUAACAAUCCUCUUUGGAUUUCUAAAAAAGUUUUGGUAGCCUAAACUCUUUCCCCAAUUUUUGAUAUCACUUCAUGUCAUUUUAGAGAGUAAGUUUUCCUGUUUUAUUAAUGUUUAUAUUUAAGCUGAAUUUUCUAAAAGAAUUGUGAGUGUUUUUAUUCUAUUGUGACAUUCAAGGUACGCAGCUGACCCUUGAGUAUAAGUCCCAUCAACUAAGUAAACAUCAAACAUAUCUUCAGUACAUCCCUUUAGAUCUUGACAGUUAUUUAUCACUUUUUCAUAAGUUCCAAAGUUCCAGAUGGUUACUGAUACAUUCAGGCUGACCACUGCUAGAUUUGAGACUUGUCCCACAGAUCUGCACUGUAUCUUCAUACCUUCAUUAAUAGAUCUUUUAUUCUUUUUUUUUUUAAUUUUUUUGGAGACGUGGGUCUCAUUAUGUUGCCCAGGCUGGUCUUGAACUUCUGGCCUCAAGUGAUCCUCCCAACUCAGCCUCCCAAAGUAUUGGAAUUAUAGGUGUGAGCCACUACACCCAGCCUAGAUCUCAAUCAGGUGACACUGAAAAUGUUUGGUCAUAAACCACAGUGAAGGAAGGGGAGGCAGCUGUUAGAUCAUCUGCCUUGACCCACAGUCCUCAUCCAUUUGCACCUUGGCAAGCCCUCUACUACAUCUGAAUCUCGAAAUGGGGGAUAACCUCUUGGGAGAGUCUAUGCUAGUACCCUUCUAGUAGUAGUUUACAAUCUGCCAACAAAUCUUGAAGCCUUAUUUGGUUGAUAUCAAUUUGAGAGGUGGGAGGUUCAGUUUCCAAAGAGUCAGGAAAGAGCAUUCAUCUAGGCUUGAGAAGCCUCCAUUUCCUAACUCAAGAGUUCUGAUUAGGUUGUUGGUUGAGUGACACAAGGCAAUCAUCUCACUUUUCUGUUCCUGAGCUUCUCCUUUUAUAGAAUGUGGGCAGGAGUGUGGAGAGGGAGAAUUUAUUUCAUUUCCUGUUUUCCAAACUUACUAAACUGUGGAAACUUUUUCUUUUGCAGCAUUGGGCAAAACUGAUGUUCUAAGGAACAUUCUUUAGGAAAGGUUAGCCAGAUCCGUGGUUCUCAACAGGCAUGUGGUACACAUUUAAUAAUGUCUGGAGACGUUUUUGGUUGUCACAACUGGGGAUCCAGGGAUGCUGCUAAACAUCCUGCAAUGCCUAGGACAGCCCUCCACAACGGAGAAUUAUCCAACUCAAAAUGCCAAUCAUUCUAAGGGGUUGAAAAACUCUGGACUAUAUGAACUAUCUCAAUUCUCUUUCAACACUAACAUUUAAAUGUGGUGUUUCUUGUUUUUUAAACACACAAAAUUUUAUUUCUGUUUUACACAAAGUCAGCUAUGGGUAUGGAUGAAUCUGCGGACAGUUUUCUUCCAUGUGUUGGCUCCAUAUUUCAGCUGCUUUGAUCUUUUUGACAUCUUAUCAAUGUGUUCUUCUAUGAUUUCCUUGGCAGAGAAAGAGAAAGCAGAGAGAAUCAUGUGCUGGAUCUUAAAUGCUUCUACGUGGAUGUAGUAAAUGUCUCUUCUACUUUUUUUAAAUAAGAAGUGUAUUAAAAUAUAAUCCAUGUAUCAUAUAAUUUACUCAUUUAAGGCAUAAAAUUCGGCUGGGUAUGGUGGCUCACACCUGUAAUCCCAGCACUUUGGGAGGUUGAGGUGGGGUGAAUCUCUUGAGCCCAGGAGUUUGAGACCAGACUGGGCAACAUGGCAAAACCCCAUCUCUACAAAAAAUACAAAAAUUAGCCAGGUGUGGUGGCACGCACCUGUAAUCCCAGCUAUUUGGGAGGUUGAGGUGGGAGUAUUGCUUGAGUUUUGAAGGCAGAGGUUGCAGUGAGCCAAGAUUGUGCCACUGCACUCCAGCCAGGGUGACAGAGUGAGACUGUCUCAAAAAAAAUUUUUCAGCUAAAAUAAAGUGUAAAACUCUGUAGUUUUUAGUGUAUCCACAA